UACGUAGGGUGCAAGCGUUAAUCGGAAUUACUGGGCGUAAAGCGUGCGCAGGCGGCCAUGCAAGACAGAUGUGAAAUCCCCGGGCUCAACCUGGGAACUGCAUUUGUGACUGCAUGGCUAGAGUACGGCAGAGGGGGAUGGAAUUCCGCGUGUAGCAGUGAAAUGCGUAGAUAUGCGGAGGAACACCGAUGGCGAAGGCAAUCCCCUGGGCCUGUACUGACGCUCAUGCACGAAAGCGUGGGGAGCAAACGGG
rnacentral:rRNA from 1 species